GAUGAACGCUGACAGAAUGCUUAACACAUGCAAGUCGAUGGGGAAGUGGUGCUUGCACCCUGGUAACCAUGGCGGACGGGUGAGUAACACGUAAGGAACUUACCUGCGGGACCGGGAUAACAGCAGGAAACUGCUGACAAGACCGGAUAAGGUCAUUAAGCUGCAUAGCUUAGUGAUGAAAGGAGACGCCUGCGGAGAGCCUUGCGUCCUAUUAGCUAGUUGGAGGGGUAACGGCCCACCAAGGCGAAGAUAGGUAGCCGGCCUGAGAGGGUGGACGGCCACAAGGGGGCUGAGAUACGGCCCUUACUCCUACGGGAGGCAGCAGUGGGGAAUAUUGGACAAUGGGGGCAACCCUGAUCCAGCAAUUCUGUGUGCACGAAGACGGUUUUCGGAUUGUAAAGUGCUUUCAGCAGGGAAGAAGGAAGUGACGGUACCUGCAGAAGAAGCGACGGCUAAAUACGUG
rnacentral:rRNA from 1 species